rnacentral:rRNA from 1 species
UACAGAGGUCUCAAGCGUUGUUCGGAUUCAUUGGGCGUAAAGGGUGUGUAGGUGGCGCCGUAAGUCGGGUGUGAAAUUUCGGAGCUUAACUCCGGAAACUGCAUUCGAUACUGCGGUGCUUGAGGACUGGAGAGGAGACUGGAAUUCAUGGUGAGCAGUGAAAUGCGUAGAGAUCAUGAGGAAGACCAGUGGCGAAGGCGGGU